UACAGAGGUCUCAAGCGUUGUUCGGAUUCAUUGGGCGUAAAGGGUGCGUAGGCGGCGCGGUAAGUCGGGUGUGAAAUCUCGGAGCUUAACUCCGAAACUGCAUUCGAUACUGCCGUGCUUGAGGACUGGAGAGGAGACUGGAAUUUACGGUGUAGCGGUGAAAUGCGUAGAUAUCGUAAGGAAGACCAGUGGCGAAGGCGACCACCUGGACUGAUACUGACACUGAGGUGCGAAAGCGUGGGGAGCAAACAGG
rnacentral:rRNA from 1 species